rnacentral:rRNA from 1 species
CAUGUCUUUUUGUUAAUGAUUUAAAGUCUGACCUGCUCGAUGAGGUUUAAAUUGCCGCAGUAUUUUGACUGUGCAAAGGUAGCAUAAUAAUUAGUUUCUUAAUUAGAAGCUUGAAUGAAUGGUUUAACAAGAAAAUUUCUGUCUCUAUUUUAUUUUUGUUGAAUUUUAUUUUUAAGUUAAAAAGCUUAAAUUUUUUUAAAAGACGAGAAGACCCUAUAGAGUUUUAUUUUUUGGUUUAGUUAUUUUUUAGAAAGUAAAUUAAAUUAAAUUAUUUGGUUGGGGUGACUCAUGGAUUAAUAAAAUUCUUUGAUUGUUGAAUUGUUGAUUUUUAAAUUUAUUUUCUGUAUUUUCAAGUUUAAAUUAAAUUACCUUAGGGAUAACAGCGUAAUUUUUCUUUAAAGUUCAUAUUAAAAGGAGAGUUUGCGACCUCGAUGUUGGAUUAAAAUAAAUUUUUGGUGCAGUAACUUAGGAGAUUAGGUCUGUUCGACCUUUAAAAUUUUACAUGAUCUGAGUUUAGACCGGCGUGAGCCAGGUUAGAUUCUAUCUUUAGGAUUUUAUAAUAUUUUAGUACGAAAGGACCAAGUAUUAAUUAUAUUAAUUG